rnacentral:rRNA from 1 species
GAUGAACGCUGGCGGCGUGCCUAACACAUGCAAGUCGAGCGAUUCUCUUCGGAGAAGAGCGGCGGACGGGUGAGUAACGCGUGGGUAACCUGCCCUGUACACACGGAUAACAUACCGAAAGGUAUGCUAAUACGAGAUAAUAUGCUCUUAUCGCAUGGUAGAAGUAUCAAAGCUCCGGCGGUACAGGAUGGACCCGCGUCUGAUUAGCUAGUUGGUAAGGUAACGGCUUACCAAGGCGACGAUCAGUAGCCGACCUGAGAGGGUGAUCGGCCACGUUGGAACUGAGACACGGUCCAAACUCCUACGGGAGGCAGCAGUGGGGAAUAUUGCACAAUGGGCGAAAGCCUGAUGCAGCAACGCCGCGUGAGCGAUGAAGGCCUUCGGGUCGUAAAGCUCUGUCCUCAAGGAAGAUAAUGACGGUACUUGAGGAGGAAGCCCCGGCUAACUACGUGCCAGCCGCCGCCGUAA